GAUGAACGCUGGCGGCGUGCCUAAUACAUGCAAGUCGAGCGAACGGACGAGAAGCUUGCUUCUCUGAUGUUAGCGGCGGACGGGUGAGUAACACGUGGAUAACCUACCUAUAAGACUGGGAUAACUUCGGGAAACCGUAGCUAAUACCGGAUAAUAUUUUGAACCGCAUGGUUCAAAAGUGAAAGACGGUCUUGCUGUCACUUAUAGAUGGAUCCGCGCUGCAUUAGCUAGUUGGUAAGGUAACGGCUUACCAAGGCAACGAUGCAUAGCCGACCUGAGAGGGUGAUCGGCCACACUGGAACUGAGACACGGUCCAGACUCCUACGGGAUGCAGCAGUAGGGAAUCUUCCGCAAUGGGCGAAAGCCUGACGGAGCAACGCCGCGUGAGUGAUGAAGGUCUUCGGAUCGUAAAACUCUGUUAUUAGGGAAGAACAUAUGUGUAAGUAACUGUGCACAUCUUGACGGUACCUAAUCAGAAAGCCACGGCUAACUACGUG
rnacentral:rRNA from 1 species